rnacentral:rRNA from 1 species
CACUCCUACGGGAGGCAGCAGUGGGGAAUAUUGCACAAUGGGCGCAAGCCUGAUGCAGCCAUGCCGCGUGUAUGAAGAAGGCCUUCGGGUUGUAAAGUACUUUCAGCGGGGAGGAAGGCAAUACGGUUAAUAACCGUGUUGAUUGACGUUACCCGCAGAAGAAGCACCGGCUAACUCCGUGCCAGCAGCCGCGGUAAUACGGAGGGUGCAAGCGUUAAUCGGAAUUACUGGGCGUAAAGCGCACGCAGGCGGUCUGUCAAGUCGGAUGUGAAAUCCCCGGGCUCAACCUGGGAACUGCAUUCGAAACUGGCAGGCUUGAGUCUUGUAGAGGGGGGUAGAAUUCCAGGUGUAGCGGUGAAAUGCGUAGAGAUCUGGAGGAAUACCGGUGGCGAAGGCGGCCCCCUGGACAAAGACUGACGCUCAGGUGCGAAAGCGUGGGGAGCAAACAGGAUUAGAUACCCGUGUAGUCCCAU